AUAGAAUUAGUUUUAUUGUGGUGAUGGAGUGUGAGUUAGAUGGGUGGGGUGUUGGUAUUUGGUCAUUUGCUUUUGUUUUACCUUUGAGACUGUUUUUGUUUUUGGUCGUGGGUGUUGUGUGGAAGAUGAUUUGCUAUGGCUUCUACUCAGUUGCGGUGUGGUUUUUGAUUGAUAUUGUCUUUGUUCUAGGAUGUUGCUUUGUUGUUGUCAUACUAUUGGUUUUAGGGGUUUCAAGCUGGGACUGCAAUUUGCGUGCAAUUUGUAUCGGU
rnacentral:lncRNA from 1 species